GUGGUUUUGAUAUUAUUAAGAUUGUGUGUAUGUAGGCUGUACUUCUGGUGGAUGAAAGGCCCCUCAAGACGUAAAGCGUUGAAAACCUCAGUUGCUUGUGGGGCUGCAGCUGUCAGCAACAAUGCUAAUUUCCUUGCAUCUGGCUUACUUUCCAAUCCAACAGCUCGCAUAUACAACACAAAUUGCUGCUUAAAUGUUCUCCAGUUACUGUUGACAUUCCCAGUUGAUCUCAGUCCAUCAGGUGGCUUCAAACUGCUGUCCAUCUUAGUUUUCCUUUUAAAAACAACUCAGAAGCACCACUCCUAGUACCAUGGUGUGUUUCUCUUUUGUCAUCAUUCAAAUAAAGAGCCAGUAUCUAAUAAAUUACUGUCAUUCUCCAAUAACAUGCUUGUUGGCACAUAUCACAGCACACCUCUUCAUCUACACCGUGCCCUGUUAUACUUUAUAUAACAUACUACCCUCUAGUGGUACACAGAGCAUGGAACUGGUACAUAGAACACUUACAAUUACCUACUGAAUAUUACAGUAGUCUACCUGACUUUUCAAACAUUUGACAUAUUAAAUAACUAAAUAUCAUUCAGUGUCUAUUUCAAUGUGCAGCAGCUUUUUCCACAUAGGUCUAAUGCUGUUUUCACACAAUUAAAUGUUCUCUCAUUUAACCCGUUACAUUUCUUAAUUAUGGUAAUGAAAUUGACAUUUGACUUCUACUCAGCCAACAGAAAGAAGACACAGGCUAUCAGGGGGAGAACCUGCACCAGCACCACUGACGAAUGCAGAGGAGAUGACCCUGAUUCUGAACACUGAGGGAAUUCCAGGAGGGAGUUCACCAGAGCCAUUCACACCCCAGGAUUCUGAUAGUAAUAUCUGCCUUGUGGAGUCACCUGUUGCAAUAGAACAGCAGACAGUAGUAAGUAGCUUACUCAAUACUGUCUACUUGUUUCUCUUUCUUCUCUCAUUACUGCUACUUAGACUCAUCUGUUCGCUAUUGUGAUCAGCGUUCACGCUGAUCUUCUCCGCAUCUGUUUUCUCUUUAUCUUGAUUUCCUCUGCUACUUUACUCUACUGUUCUCUCAGAUUCUUUGCCAGAUUGUUGUUGGUUUUCUAACGCAUGUUCCUUUGGUCUUCAAACUAUGAUGACAAGAUCUAACAAGAUCUUUGAGCAGCUGAUCGACGUCUCCUUAGUGCAAACAUUGCAAACGCUGAGGAAAACCGUACUACCCAGCAAACAAUGACCUAGCUGUCCACCAGCGGUUUUUGGGCAGCACAAAUGCAGCGGCUUAAUAUGGUCAGACCACCGUCGGCACACCAUCGGUGAGCCGUCCAAUCUAAAAAUGUCGGUCAGCCAGCGUUUUUUGGGUGGCACGCCACCAGCGGUUUGCCGUGGCUGGGCCUCCGUCGGUGCACCAGUGGCAAGCAGAUCUGUCCUGUGUUUCUACUGAGCUUGACAUCUUUGUUUUAUAAAUUAUUAUUUUUUUACAUUUAUGUAUUACAUUACAUUUUUACAGUUAAAAGGAAUCUGAAGCACUGAAUAAAAAUAGUGACAAACAUUGACUGUUUCAUAUUAACAAAAGUAUAGUAUAAAAACUGCAAGCACAUUUUUAAAUGAAAUAAAUAGAAAAUCUAAUAAAAAAAAUAUAUAUAUAUAUAAAAUUGAAUAAAAAUAAAAGUGCUACUUUGUCCCACUAUCACAUGCGGGUUGCAGUUUACACCUAUGUAUGAAUGGGUCAUAUAACUACAAAACGAUUAAAAUUCAAAAUUAAAUAAUUUUUUUUGUUGUUGUUUAUGUUCUAUAUAAUGUUUAUUUAAACGGUGCGUGACUGUGACAUGUUUUGAUGGACGCGCGCUCUGAGUCUCAUUCAAACGCUGCAGCGAGGGAGUUACCAUGGAAACGGGGCGGCAACUCUCCAACUGACAGCUGCAAUACUGCGUCUCUCGCUGCUGUUUUCACCGUUUUCAGGUGAGUUUAGUCCUUAAAAUCACACAAAUAUUACAUACAACUGUUCCUGACACCUUUCUUUCUUGUAAUUGAUACGCUUCUGUUGAAUAUUUACUUCAUAAAGACGGUUUAAUGUCUUCGAAAAAGUCCGUUAGCAUCUCAGCUGUUUUCAGACGAUGUAUGCUAACUCUGUAUAUUGAGCUCUGAUUGAUCAAAGUUUUGACUUUUCAUCACAUAUUUAUGUGUAGUUGGGAGAUUUUAAUAGCUUUGUAAAGGUUUUGUCAAUAGGUUAUUGGAAUUAGACGAAUUUAUUUGGCCUAAAAUAUGUGCUGUAACUUUACUGUUAAUCGGUGACGUCACUUAAAGGAGCACGUAUUAACUGAAUCUAGUUAAAACGUGAUUUGAUAUUUAAUGGCAAACAAUUAUUGAUAAAAAUUGUUCUGUGGUUUCUGGAGUAACACUUCUACAAAGGAAGAGAAGCUCCAAGAUAUCUAAAUUUCUGAAGGAAGCUGCUGACAGAGAUGUGGGAAACAUAGCCAACACUGAGAUCAUUCUGCACGUGCACGAGCCUGAGUGACUUCGCAGGAGAAACAGCGCCGGCAUCUUGUCAAGUUCACGAGUCAGGGUGUGGCCAAAGGUUUCAUUGGUGCUUUGUCAUCACUGCAAGAUUUCAGAUGCAACCCAGUCAGUUCUUCCAAGGCACCAAACACCAGACCGCUCCACUGCAACUACAUACUGUGUGUACCUUCAAGACUAGGAGUUUAUUGUUUUCAUUCCAGGUAAUGUGUGUAAAUGUUUAGAGUGUUUACUACAAUUAAAAUGUGCUUUAUUGUUCUCAGUGGCAUCUACGCUAAUAUUAGUCUGUUUCAUUCUUAUUCCGAGGUCACCAUAGCCACCAGAUCCAGUCCGUAUCCAGAUCAGAUGGUGGAUCAGCACCUAGAGACGACCUCUACAGCCCUGAAUGUCAGCGGAGACCAUGUCAGCUAGAUGAGCUCCAGAGACAGAUCCCCAGUGAAGACCUCGUUGGCCAUCGGGACAAGACCACGAGAACCAGACAAGUCCUCUGCUCAAUCUGACCUGUGCAGGAAUUAAACCAUGCCAUGCUGGUUUCUUCUGGCCAGAGGAGAACUGCCCCUCGACUGAGCCUGGUUUCUCCCAAGGUUUUCUACUCAGUUUCUGUCACCGAUGGAGUUUUGAGUCCUUGUCGCUGUCACCUUUGGCUUGCUUAUUUGGGGACGCUUGGCUGAUUGCAUAGACACUAUUGGAAGAGAGCUGAACUGAAUGAUGAUUUCAUUGAAUCAUCAAUGAACUGACUUUAACUGGAAAAAUGACUUGUUAAUGUCCUCUUGCAUUAUUAACAAACUAUUUUCCUGUUUGACUGUAAAGCUGCUUUGACACGAUCAGUAUUGUAUAAAGUGCAUUAUAAAUAAAGGUGACUUGACUUGAUUUUAUAUACUGUAACACCUGGUUCAUUUAUUUAUUUAUUUAUUGUGACUUCUGCCUCAUUUUAAAGAUGUAAUUGUGAACAGUAGUAAUAUUUGUAAAUGUUUGUUUGCUAACAUUUUGUUUAGCUUGUUUAGGUUUUUCUUAGUUCAUUAAAGUUUAAACUGAAUUUUGCAGUUGUAUUACAGAUGUAAUGUUUGUCAGCUGGAGCUUUAAAGGGAUAGUUCACCCAAAAAUGAAAAUUUGCUGUUAAUUUACUGACCCUUAGGCCAUCCGAGAUGUAGGUGACUUUUUUUCUUUAAGCCUGUAUGUUUAGUCUGUAUGACAAAUGUUAUAAAUGGAGAUUGUUAUUAAA